GAUGAACGCUGGCGGCGUGCCUAACACAUGCAAGUCGAACGGAGUUAUGAUGUGAGCGGGAAGUGCUUGCACUAAACAAUCUUUUCAUAACUUAGUGGCGGACGGGUGAGUAACGCGUGGGUAACCUGCCCUGUACUGGGGGACAACAGUUGGAAACGACUGCUAAUACCGCAUAAGCGCACGGGAUCGCAUGAUCCUGUGUGAAAAACUCCGGUGGUACAGGAUGGACCCGCGUCUGAUUAGCUGGUUGGUGAGGUAACGGCCCACCAAGGCAACGAUCAGUAGCCGGCCUGAGAGGGUGAACGGCCACAUUGGGACUGAGACACGGCCCAAACUCCUACGGGAGGCAGCAGUGGGGAAUAUUGCACAAUGGGGGAAACCCUGAUGCAGCGACGCCGCGUGAGUGAAGAAGUAUUUCGGUAUGUAAAGCUCUAUCAGCAGGGAAGAAAAUGACGGUACCUGACUAAGAAGCCCCGGCUAACUACGUGCCAGCAGCCG
rnacentral:rRNA from 1 species